GACGAACGCUGGCGGCGUGCUUAACACAUGCAAGUCGAACGCGCCUGUCCUCUGGGUUUCUGGGGGGUGGGUGAGUGGCGAACGGGUGAGUAACACGUGAGUAACCCGCCCCCUUCUUCGGGAUAACGGUCUGAAAGGGCUGCUAAUACCGGGUAUUCACUGGUCUCCGCAUGGGGUCUGGUGGAAAGGUUUUUUUCUGGUGGGGGAUGGGCUCGCGGCCUAUCAGCUUGUUGGUGGGGUGAUGGCCCACCAAGGCUUUGACGGGUAGCCGGCCUGAGAGGGUGACCGGUCACAUUGGGACUGAGAUACGGCCCAGACUCCUACGGGAGGCAGCAGUGGGGAAUAUUGCACAAUGGGCGCAAGCCUGAUGCAGCGACGCCGCGUGAGGGAUGGAGGCCUUCGGGUUGUGAACCUCUUUCGCCCGUGGUCAAGCCGCGACGUGGGUCGUGGUGAGGGUAGUGGGUAAAGAAGCGCCGGCUAACUACGUG
rnacentral:rRNA from 1 species